GAUCAUGGCUCAGAUUGAACGCUGGCGGCAUGCCUUACACAUGCAAGUCGAACGGCAGCACGGGAGCAAUCCUGGUGGCGAGUGGCGAACGGGUGAGUAAUAUAUCGGAACGUGCCCGGUCGUGGGGGAUAACGUAGCGAAAGCUACGCUAAUACCGCAUACGAUCUACGGAUGAAAGCGGGGGAUCGCAAGACCUCGCGCGAUUGGAGCGGCCGAUAUCAGAUUAGGUAGUUGGUGAGGUAAAGGCUCACCAAGCCGACGAUCUGUAGCUGGUCUGAGAGGACGACCAGCCACACUGGGACUGAGACACGGCCCAGACUCCUACGGGAGGCAGCAGUGGGGGAAUUUUGGACAAUGGGCGCAAGCCUGAUCCAGCAAUGCCGCGUGAGUGAUGAAGGCCUUCGGGUUGUAAAGCUCUUUUACUCGGGACGAUAAUGACGGUACCGAGAGAAUAAGCCCCGGCUAACUCCGUG
rnacentral:rRNA from 1 species